rnacentral:misc_RNA from 1 species
GAUGAAGAACGUAGCAAAAUGCGAUACUUGGUGUGAAUUGCAGAAUCCCGUGAACCAUCGAGUCUUUGAACGCAAGUUGCGCCUCAAGCCAUUAGGUUGAGGGCACGUCUGCCUGGGCGUCACAUAUCGUUGCCUGAUGCCAGUUUCCUCGUGAUGGGUGACUGUGCAGGGCGAAUGAUGGCUUCCCGUGAGCAUUGUUGCCUCAUGGUUGGUUGAAAAUUGAGUCCUUGGUAGGGAGCGCCGUGAUAGAUGGUGGUUGAGUGACGAACGAGACCCAAUCAUGUGAGACCCCUACCGAAUUUGGCCUUCAUGACCCACAUGCGUCUUUGGAACGCUCAUGACGAGACCUCAGGUCAGGCGGUGCUACCCGCUGAGUUUAAGCAUAUCAAUAAGCGGAGGA